ACGUAUAGUUCAUCGGUAGAACACCGGCUUCCCAAGCCGGGGAGGCGGGUUCGAUUCCCGUUACGU
rnacentral:tRNA from 1 species